AACGACGACUUCUGGUGCUUGCCAAAAUGAGUAUUGGCGAAGGGGUGAGUAACUUUUGUGUAACCUGCCCUUGACUUCGGGAGCUCCUGGGAAACCGGGUCUAAUACCGGAUACUACCUCCUGGCGCAUGCCAUGGGGGUGGAAAGCUUUAUUGCGGUUUUGGAUGGACUCGCGGCCUAUCAUCUUGUUGGUUGGGGUAAUGGCCCACCAAGGCGACGACGGGUAGCCGGCCUGAGAAGGUGACCGGCCACCCUGGGACUGAAACACGGCCCAAACUCCUACGGGAGGCAGCAGUGGGGAAUAUUGCACGAUGGGCGAAAGCCUGAUGCAACGACCCCUCGUGAGGGAUGACGGCCUUCGGGUUGUAAACCUCUUUCAGCAGGGAAGAAGCGAAAGUGACCGUACCUGUACAAAAGGCGCCGGCUAAACUACGUGCCACCAGCCGCGGUAAUACAUAUGGCGCAAGCGUUAUCCGGAAUUAUUGGGCCUACAGAGCUAGCAAGCAGAUUGUCGCGAA
rnacentral:rRNA from 1 species